CAGCAGCACGGUAAUACGAAGGGUGCAAGCGUUAAUCGGAAUUACUGGGCGUAAAGCGUGCGUAGGCGGUGAGUUAAGUCUGCUGUGAAAUCCCCGGGCUCAACCUGGGAAUGGCAGUGGAUACUGGCUCGCUAGAGUGUGUCAGAGGAUGGUGGAAUUCCCGGUGUAGCGGUGAAAUGCGUAGAGAUCGGGAGGAACAUCAGUGGCGAAGGCGGCCAUCUGGGACAACACUGACGCUGAGGCACGAAAGCGUGGGGAGCAAACAGGAUUAGAUACCCCCGUAGUCCCUGUCUCUUAUACA
rnacentral:rRNA from 1 species